rnacentral:misc_RNA from 1 species
CGUAGGUGAACCUGCGGAAGGAUCAUUAACAAAUCCUGGCCAUCGUCGUUUUGCACGAUGGCAAAACACCGUGCACUGGCAGCUGGAGAGGGGAGAACCCGCUCGGUUCGUUGGAGGUGUGCCGCCGGCAUUCGGUUGAGCGCAGCACUUAAAUCGGUGGGAUUUAGCUCCCCCACCGCCCGCCGGGCCUCGAACCGAUAUCUCCCGUCUUUGGCUUUUUGCGUGACCGUUUGUGAAACCUUGUGGUGUAUUCAUUUUUUUUGGCAAGAAAACUUUGACAACUUCUGACGGUGGAUCUCUUGGCUCGUGCAUCGAUGAAGAACGCAGCAAGCUGCGAUACGUAGUGUGAAUUGCAGAAUUCAGUGAAUCAUCGAGUCUUUGAACGCAAAUGGCGCUCCCGGGGUCUCCUCGGGAGCAGGUCUGUUCGAGCGUCCGCCAAUCGACGAAAGCGUUGUCGUCCUCCGGGACGGCAAGAAUGAGGAGCUGCGGCGAUGAACGUGCGCCGUACUCCUUGAAAAGACGUGCCAGCGGAUUGCGACACGGCGGUCCGAAGAGACGUCGUCGCGACAUCGUGAACGGUUGCGUCGUCGCAUCUCUUGGGAACCGCGGGGUCAGAUCGGCGGCCGGAAAUCAGGAA